rfam:Nosema bombycis CQ1 unplaced genomic scaffold NBO_1330, whole genome shotgun sequence.
UGCUAGUAAAUUUUAUUUAAUAAGUAGAAUUGAAUGAGUCCCUGUUCUUUGUACACACCGCCCGUCGCUAUCUAAGAUGGUAUUAUCUAUGAACAAAUUUAUAAAGUGAAUAGAUAGUACUAGAUCUGAUAUAAGUCGUAACAUGGUUGCUGUUGGAGAACCAUUAGCAGGAUCAUAA